ACGCUCGACACCUACGGGAGCAGCAGUAGGGAAUAUUGCGCAAUGGGGGAAACCCUGACGCAGCAACGCCGCGUGGAGGAUGACACUUUUCGGAGCGUAAACUCCUUUUCUUAGGGAAGAAUUCUGACGGUACCUAAGGAAUAAGCACCGGCUAACUCCGUGCCAACAGCCGCGGUAAUCUGAGCGGGCUGGCAAGGC
rnacentral:rRNA from 1 species